UACGUAGGGUGCGAGCGUUAAUCGGAAUUACUGGGCGUAAAGCGUGCGCAGGCGGUUCGUUGUGUCGGUGGUGAAAUCCCCGGGCUUAACCUGGGAUGGCCAUGGAAACUGGCGAACUGGAGUGCGGCAGAGGGGGGUGGAAUUCCGCGUGUAGCAGUGAAAUGCGUAGAGAUGCGGAGGAACACCGAUGGCGAAGGCAGCCCCCCUGGGCUAGCACUGACGCUCAGGCACGAAAGCGUGGGGAGCAAACAGG
rnacentral:rRNA from 1 species